GACUGAUAUGGCGCAGUGGUUGUGCGGCUGCCUGCAAUGCAGAAGAUUCCGGGUUUGAUUCCCGGUGUGUUA